GUGGGGAAUAUUGGACAAUGGGGGGAACCCUGAUCCAGCCAUGCCGCGUGUGUGAAGAAGGCCUUUUGGUUGUAAAGCACUUUAAGCGAGGAGGAGGCUACCGAGAUUAAUACUCUUGGAUAGUGGACGUUACUCGCAGAAUAAGCACCGGCUAACUCUGUGCCAGCAGCCGCGGUAAUACAGCGGGUGCAAGCGUUAAUCGGAUUUACUGGGCGUAAAGCGCGCGUAGGUGGCCAAUUAAGUCAAAUGUGAAAUCCCCGAGCUUAACUUGGGAAUUGGAUUCGAUACUGGUUGGCUAGAGUAUGGGAGAGGAUGGUAGAAUUCCAGGUGUAGCGGUGAAAUGCGUAGAGAUCUGGAGGAAUACCGAUGGCGAAGGCAGCCAUCUGGCCUAAUACUGACACUGAGGUGCGAAAGCAUGGGGAGCAAACAGGAUUAGAAACCCUUGUAGUCC
rnacentral:rRNA from 1 species